rnacentral:snoRNA from 1 species
CCGCAUACGGGUCCACAUGAGAGCAUCACUCGAGUCCUUGAAAGCUGAGU